AACUUUUGGCAACGGAUCUCUUGGCUCUCGCAUCGAUGAAGAACGCAGCGAAACGCGAUAGUUAAUGUGAAUUGCAGAAUUCAGUGAAUCAUCGAGUCUUUGAACGCACAUUGCGCCCCUUGGUAUUCCGAUGGGCAUGUCUGUUUGAGCGUCAUUACAACUCUCUGCACCAGUUAAUUUUGGUCAGGUCAUGAGUUUGGUUGAGGGUCUUUGCACCCGGACCGGCUUUAAAUUUGAACGCUCUGCGGGUUACUUCUUACCUGACCGAACAUAGUAAAUUCUGAAUUGUUCCACCUGGUACUUGGUUGACCCAGCCUGAACAAAAACCACAUUUCUUAGGUUUGACCUCAGAUCAGACAAGGAUACCCGCUGAACUUAAGCAUAUCAAUAAGCGGAGGCU
rnacentral:misc_RNA from 1 species